rnacentral:rRNA from 1 species
UCAGGAUGAACGCUAGCUACAGGCUUAACACAUGCAAGUCGAGGGGCAGCAUGUUGGUUGCUUGCAACCAAUGAUGGCGACCGGCGCACGGGUGAGUAACGCGUAUCCAACCUUCCCCUAGUAGAGGAUAGCCGGCGAAAGUCGGAUUAAUACUCUAUGUUCUUCAAUGCGGACAUCUAAGUUGAAGCAAAGAUUUAUCGCUAAGGGAUGGGGAUGCGUCUGAUUAGGUUGCAGGCGGGGUAACGGCCACCUGGCCUACGAUCAGUAGGGGUUCUGAGAGGAAGGUCCCCCACACUGGUACUGAGACACGGACCAGACUCCUACGGGAGGCAGCAGUGAGGAAUAUUGGUCAAUGGGCGCGAGCCUGAACCAGCCAAGUAGCGUGCAGGGAACCGACUGCCCUAUGGGUUGUAAACUGCUUUUAUCAGGGAAUAAAGUGAGGCACGCGUGCCUUUUUGUAUGUACCUGAUGAAUAAGGACCGGCUAAUUCCGUGCCAGCAGCUGC